rnacentral:rRNA from 1 species
UGAACGCGAAGAACCUUACCAAGCCUUGACAUCCCAUUGACAGAGUAUGUAAUGUGCUUUCCCUUCGGGGCAAUGGUGACAGGUGGUGCAUGGUUGUCGUUAGCUCGUGUCGUGAGAUGUUGGGUUAAGUCCCGCAACGAGCGCAACCCCUAUCUUCAGUAGCCAGCGGUUCGGCCGGGCACUCUAGGGAGACUGCCAGGGUGAACCUGGAGGAAGGUGGGGAUGACGUCAAAUCAUCAUGCCCCUUAUGACUUGGGCUACACACGUGCUACAAUGGCGCAAACAAAGGGAAGCGAGACCGUGAGGUGGAGCAAAUCCCAAAAAUAACGUCUCAGUUCGGACUGUAGUCUGCAACCCGACUACACGAAGCUGGAAUCGCUAGUAAUCGCAGAUCAGAAUGCUGCGGUGAAUACGUUCCCGGGUCUUGUACACACCG